rnacentral:tRNA from 1 species
GCCUUUGUGAUGUAGUGGUUAGCACACUCGACGCGUAUUCGAGAGAUCCGUGGUUCGAGUCCCGUCGAAGGCA